UGAACCUGCGGAAGGAUCAUUGCUGGAACGC
rnacentral:rRNA from 1 species